GCCGGGUGCUGUGGCGCACACCUGUAAUCCCAGCAGCUCAGGAGGCUGAGGCAGGAAGAUCCCAAGUUCAAAGCCAGCCUCAGCAAUGGUGAGGUGCUAAGCAACUCAGUGAGACCCUGUCUCUA
rnacentral:sRNA from 1 species